CCACCAUCAGCACCCUCCCACCUGCACCUCUGCCACUCCUCUCCUUCAGAGACAAGUAGGUCCAGUACUGGUGAGGUUCUUGUCCACAGCAUUCCUUGGUGGCCUUUACCCUGCACUCAGAUUGAAGUGGGGAAGCCUCGUGCCAAGCUUGCUGUGCUUUUUGCUAUGCGUGUGAGCUGUACCCAGCCCUGAAAUGUGAGAUCUGACCCCUGCACGUCCCGUGAUGCUGUGAAGCCCCUCGGGCUCAGGGAGGGAGCAGAACCCCUGUCCUGAGUUUCCUUUCCACUCCUGGAGGUGGCCUGCAGCAGCUGAAAAAGCAGAGAACAAAAACUCCAACACAUCAAGAGCACAGUGGCACCGAACAGUUAUUGGCUGUUAUCUUGUAAACACUGCAAGACAAGCUCGUGGAGAAAAUGACUCCGUGCAGUCCGAAAUAAGAUACUGCUGGAGCAAGAAUGCUGAUGACAUGGAGUGGACACUUCUGUCCAUGUUUCCUGCAGCAGACCUUGCUCUCACCUGCACCUUCGUGCCACAGACAAAUCUUCCAGCUCACAGAACGGGAUAAUUAGAAAGGAAGAAAUUCUUAUGGUUUGACUUGGAGACUUUCAUUGCAGUUUAUUUGAUAGUUAGAAGCAUCAGCAUCUCAGAAGUUAAUGAUCUGCCUGAAAUAAU
rnacentral:lncRNA from 1 species